rnacentral:rRNA from 1 species
UACGAAGGGGGCUAGCGUUGUUCGGAAUUACUGGGCGUAAAGCGUGCGUAGUCGGUUAUCUAAGUCGGGUGUGAAAUCCCCGGGCUCAACCUGGGAAUUGCAUUCGAUACUGGAUAGCUAGAGUUCGGCAGAGGGAAGCGGAAUUUCGGGUGUAGCGGUGAAAUGCGUAGAUAUCCGAAGGAACAUCAGUGGCGAAAGCGGCUUCCUGGACCAGAACUGACGAUCAGGCACGAAAGCGUGGGGAGCAAACAGG